UACGUAGGAUGCAAGCGUUGUCCGGAAUUAUUGGGCGUAAAGAGCGCGCAGGCGGUUCUGCCAAGUCAGAUGUGAAAGAGGCCGGCUUAACCGGCAAAGGUCAUUUGAAACUGACAGACUAGAGUGCAGCAGAGGAUAGCGGAAUUCCCGGUGUAGUGGUGAAAUGCGUAGAUAUCGGGAGGAACACCAGUGGCGAAGGCGGCUAUCUGGGCUGCAACUGACGCUGAGGCGCGAAGGCUAGGGUAGCAAACAGG
rnacentral:rRNA from 1 species